rnacentral:lncRNA from 10 species
CCGACUUCCUGGGGUCGAUGUUACCACCUGCUGGGUCUUAGAAGCUAUUGCUUUAAAUCUGAGGAAAGAGAAAUCCCAGAAAGAAAAGAUGACUUGCCCAAGGUCAUAGUGUGCGUGAAAACAGAGCUACGAUUACAAACCUGGUCGCUGUGCUCUACUACACGCCGCGCCUCAUUCCUCUUGUCAUCAUCUCCUGACAAAAAAUAACAUCCAAAGAUAUUUUGGCACUAACAGUGUGAUCUGUAGCAAGAAAGAUAAGCAGUCUGUUCGAACUGAGGAGACUUCCAAGGAGACUUCAGAGAGCCAAGACAGUGAAAAGGAAAAUACGAAAAAAGACUUGUUAGGCAUUAUUAAGGGCAUGAAAGUUGAAUUAAGCACAGUAAAUGUACGAACAACAAAGCCCCCCAAAAGAAGACCACUUAAAAGUUUGGAAGCUACACUUGGCAGGCUUCGAAGAGCUACAGAAUAUGCUCCAAAGAAGAGAAUUGAGCCCCUGAGUCCUGAGUUGGUGGCAGCUGCAUCUGCUGUGGCAGAUUCUCUCCCUUUUGAUAAGCAAACAACCAAGUCAGAGCUGCUGAGCCAGCUCCA